rnacentral:piRNA from 1 species
ACCGGGCUGGCUUCAAACUUUGAG